AGAUUUUUCUUCCUCAGUGAGAUGUGAAGAAAGUAGAAAGUGGACAGUUUAUUGUAAGGUCACAAAAUGCAAGUAUUAAUAUUUUACUAACAAAAUAAUAAACAGAAUUUGCAAAGAU